rnacentral:rRNA from 1 species
GGAACGGGUGCGUAACGCGUAUGCAACCUACCCACAACUGAGGGAUACGCCCGGAAGAAAUUCGGAUUAAUACCUCAUAAUGCAGGGGUACCGCAUGGUACUAUUAGCUAAAGAUUUAUCGGUUGUGGAUGGGCAUGCGUCUGAUUAGUUAGUUGGUGAGGUAACGGCUCACCAAGGCAACGAUCAGUAGGGGGUCUGAGAGGAUGAUCCCCCACACUGGUACUGAGAUACGGACCAG